UGUUGAUGUGCGUGUUUAAUAAAUACAUAAACUAUACUUAUACUAAUUCAGAUACUGUCCUAGGUGUUUUUUCAAAUACCAGAACAUUUAAUAUUUGCAGAAACUCUGUGAUGUAGGAAUUAUUAUUAUCUAUCUGAACACGCUCAAUUACAGGCUUGUAAUUAGAGAGGGCUGCAGACCCAGGCUGUUGGCUAUAAAAUCUGUGCCCUUACCUUGAACCACCGGACCGGGCCCAACCCUGGAAUACUCAGGCUUCUUUAACAUUCAUCCAGAGCCAAUGCCAGCUCCUCUCUCCUCCUUUCUCUCUCUCCCCCGCCCUCUCUCCCUCCAUCCCUCCAGCCUUUUAUCUAUCCUAAUUAAUAAUAAUGAGAGUGAAAUUACUUUCUCUGAGAAUCCCACUGAGCAGAGGCUGAGCAAAAGCAUGUGUGUUCCGACUUGAGGAGAGAGAAUUCAAAGAAGCUGGAGAGAGAGAAAGAGGAGGCAGGAGAGGAGGGGACACACUGGUUUCCUCUUGGUCUUGUUUAAGCAUGAGGGACCGUCUCUAAGAGGCAGUGACAGCGUGACAUCCAGGGUAAUAGAUUCUGAGCUAUUUGACCUGGGGGCCCGAAGCUUGAGCUCUGGCGGGAGACAGCCGGUAUCCCUUAUCAGCCAGGGUUUGAAAGCGUCGCUGUCUGUUUAAGAGCUGUCAUACGCUGGGCUGCAUCGUAAGAGACCAUCCACGUGCUGGAGGAGGGUACUCGGGCUGAUGCGAUCUGAAGCCAGGGGCUGUCCCGAAAGCCCUGGGGAAGGACCUCCAGGUAAGCGGACUCGAUGGGUGGGUGUCGGGAUGUGUCCAGGUGACGGCGGAAAGGUCCUGAGAGUCUGGGUGUGAAGGGACAGGAAGGAAGGCAUCCUUCAGAUUGAGUACCAAGAAGUGGCAGGUAUCUGGGGGAAGAAGGGGUAGGAUGGUGCAGGGGUUAGGGACCCCCGGGGGAGGUGCAGGACUGCCUGGUUUAUGAUGCGGAGAUCUGGGACAAGGCGGUCAGAGCCAUCUGACUUUUUUACCGGUAGGAUGGACUGUUGAAUGGGAGUGAGAGGGCUGGGGUAAGUUACGAGAAAGAAGGCGGUUAAUAAUAGGUUGGAGGCCCCUUCUGCUCUCAGGGUUCAAAGGACAGUGGGGGUGGCAGGGCUUUGUGGACGGGUCUUUUAACUUCAUUCGAAUGGGAGCAUGAUGUCUGGCUAUGGAAGGGGUGGAGGUAGCCCGUACCUUGAGCAUGACAGUGGGGGCUGGGAGAGGUGGCUCAUCAGGUUCUGGAGGAGCAGGAAGGAGGGGUCAGCCACUCCCCUAGAACUGGGAGGCCGGUGUUGGAUGCGGAGUUGGUAAUGGCAAGGCGGAGUUCCCGGCUUGGCGUUUCUCCCUGGCUGGGCUCCAGAGGGUUGGCAGGGAGAUGCCUGGAUCAGGGGCCCAGACCUGCAUGGGAGCCUGAGAUUAGCCCAGGACCAGCUGCCCCUGCCCUCUGCUCUCUGGGUUGUAAACCCAGAGGUUACAGGUGCUACUGGCCAGCUUUCUGACCCCCCGCCAAUCCCUCCUGGGUUUCAGCCCCAAAUGUUAGGUUUCAGAGGGAGGAACACGCAAGGCCAAGUUGGUAAAGCCAGAGAGACUUCUUCAGGCACCAGAGGGGGUCGGGCUGAGCUCCAGAUGGCACCAGCCCUGACUCUGAGGAGGUGCUGGGCUUAUAAAGGAUCUGAGGCCAGAAGUGGUGGCUGGAGCUCCUGGUGGGUAUUUGUGGCAGGAAUGACGAAGAAGGAGGAGGGGUCGGGGGUCGAGUCCCAGGACAGAGGGCAGCGAAUCCUUGUAGGAGGUUCAUCUAUGUGCGCAGUUGUUUUCCUCAGGCCGUUGUUGCUUGCUGCCCAAUUUGAGUCUCCACCUUCCAGGCAAAGGUGUAGAUCUGGUGCCGGGCUGAACCCAUGUCCCCAGUGGGUCUCCAAGCUGAACAGCCACAUGUGGGGGGUGCGGUCUGUCUCCGUCCUCCUGGGAGCCUGUCACCGAGGACAUCCAGCGGGCUGUUUCCAGGACUCCCAGCACAGGUGGCUGGGACCGGGGAUGCUGCAAGAGCUCUCAGGGGCCACUGGAGACAAGGUCCCAGCCUGGGCUCUGCCACCCACUCUGGGCGUUCUGAUAGGGUGGACUAGGAUAGUUACACAGGUGGCCGUGGAGUCCCAGUAAGGGACCAUAGACAGAGAAGGAAACUUAGGGAACUUUGGGAGAUCUGUAAGUUGUUCAAGAACGCCGUCAGAACCGGCAGCCUUACUUGACUAGUGGAGGCGGGAACUGUGACUCAGGUCAGUGGGUGGGGGAUGACGUGAGGCCUGCAUUUGGGUUCUGACCAAGGGCAGGAGUGGAAGGACCACCCUUCUGCUGGUUGGAAUAAGCACCAUGACGUCCUUGUUUGACCUUAGGGUCAACUACUCUCUUACCAGAUACCAAGGAGGAGCUACCACUCCGGGAAAGAGGAAGAGGCAGACUUUUCUGACCCCCACCCCACUUGGAUGAAAAACUGUAGCCCAUGGGAUCCUGGGGGCAGAGCUUCCCCGCCCGCCCGCUUGCAUCUCUUUCAAGCUUCCAAUCUUAAUAAAUCUGGUUUUUUUGCCUAUCA